rnacentral:rRNA from 1 species
GAUGAACGCUGGCGGCGUGCUUAACACAUGCAAGUCGAACGGUGAAGCAGAGCUUUCUCUGUGUUUCCGUUGCGAACGGGUGAGUAACUCGUAAGCAACCUGCCCCUGUCUCUGGGAUAGGCGCUUUAAACGGCGUCUAAUACUGGCUAUUAGCUGCUACCGCCUGGUCAGCUGUUUGAAAGAUUUUUCGGUAUGUGAUGGUCUUACGGCAUAUCAGCUCGUUGGUGCAGUAAUGGCUCGCCAAGGCGUCGACGGGUAGCCGGCCUGAGAGGGUGUCCGGCCACACUGGGACUGAGAGACGGCCCAGACUCCUACGGGAGGCAGUAGGGGGGAAUAUUGCACAAUGGGCGAAAGCCUGAUGCAGCAACGCCGGGUGAGGGAUGACGGCCUUCGGGUUGUAAACCUCUUUUAGCAGGGAAGAAGAGAAAGCGACGGUACCUGCAGAAAAAGCGCCGGCUAACUACGUG